rnacentral:rRNA from 1 species
AUUGAACGCUGGCGGCAGGCCUAACACAUGCAAGUCGAACGGUAACAGGAAGAAGUUUGCUUCUUUGCUGACGCGUGGCGGACGGGUGAGUCAUGUCUGGGACACUGCUUGAUGGCGGGGGAUAACUACUGGAAACGGUAGCUAAUACCGCAUAACGUCGCAAGCCCAAAAAGGGGGACCUUCGGGCGUUUUUCCAUUGGAUUUGCCCAGAUGGGAUUAGCCAGUAGGUGGGGUAACGGCUAACCUAGGCGACGAUCCCUAGCUGGUCUGAGAGGGUGACCGGCCACACUGGAACUGAGACACGGUCCAGACUCCUACGGGAGGCAGCAGUAGGGAAUAUUGCACAAUGGGCGAAAGCCUGAUGCAGCAAUGCCGCGUGUAUGAAGAAGGCCUUCGGGUCGUAAAGUACUGUCAGCGGGGAGGAAGGGAGUAAAGUUAAUACCUGUACUCAUUGACGGUACCCGCAGAAGAAGCACCGGCUAACUCCGUG